ensembl:lncRNA
GCAGAGUAUGAUAGCAAGGAGUUGGGGGAAAUUCUGCCGUUUGAUUGCAAAUAUGCGCAGGGAGUCAAAGAUAUCACACAGAAGGCUGUUGUAUAAAACACCUGUCUUCGGAUUACAUCUUCAAACUACAGUGGUCCAUCAAUUAAAAGAUCUGAGAUUAUGCCGCGAGACAUAGAGGUAAUUUGUGGUUUAGUAUGUUACCCUGCGUCAAUGCUUCAUUGCUCCAGCACUGAUUAUGCUUUCAGGUACAGUGUAAAGCAUUGGUCCCAAGGCGCUAAUGUGUCUCUCACUGAAUGAAUGCUGUCAAUGAAUGGGCAAUACAAACCAAAUAGAAACUGAUAAUUGUGCACGACUUCACAAUUGGAUUUGAAUUAACUGAAUGAUGAGGAUGAAGAAGAAGAGGGUGAUUGAAUUUAGAACAAUGGUGUAAAAAUUGCUAUUCCUCUGUUCUGCACGCACACCCGAAAAAUUCCAGGUAUUUGUUUGUUUAUACUUCGUCAGAAGAAACUGUAACUGGACUGUAGCAUAUUACUUACUAGAGGUCGACCGAUUAUGAUUUUUCAACGCCGAUACCGAUUUAUUGGAAGACCAAAAAAGCCGAUACCGAUUAAUCUGCCGAUUUAAAAAAAAAAUGUACUAAUAAAUUUAAGAAAUGUAUUUGUAAUAAUGACAAUUACAACAAGACUGAAUGAACACUUAUUUUAACUUAAUAUAAUAUAUCAAUAAAAUCAAUUUAGCCUCAAGUAAAUAAUGAAACAUGUUCAAUUUGGUUUAAAUAAUGCAAAAACAAAUGUACAGGUGCAGUAAUCUGUGAGCUGCUCUGACAGCUGGUGCUUAAAGCUAGUGAGGGAGAUAAGUGUUUCCAGUUUCAGAGAUUUUUGUAGUUCGUUCCAGUCAUUGGCAGCAGAGAACUGGAAGGAGAGGCGGCCAAAGAAAGAAUUUGUUUUGGGGGUGACCAGAGAGAGAUACCUGCUGGCGCGCGUGCUACAGGUGGGUGAUGCUAUGGUGACCAGCGAGCUGAGAUAAGGGGGGGACUUUACCUAGCAGGGUCUUGUAGAUGACAUGGAGCCAGUGGGUUUGGCGACGAGUAUGAAGUGAGGGCCAGCCAAUGAGAGGGUACAGUUCGCAAUGGUGGGUAGUAUAUGGGGCUUUGGUGACAAAACGGAUGGCACUGUGAUAGACUGCAUCCAAUUUGUUGAGUAGGGUAUUGGGGGCUAUUUUGUAAAUGACAUCGCCGAAGUCGAGGAUUG